CACGUAGGGGGCGAGCGUUGUCCGGAUUUAUUGGGCGUAAAGAGCUCGUAGGCGGCUCAGUAAGUCGGGUGUGAAACCUCCAGGCUCAACCUGGAGACGCCACCUGAUACUGCUGUGGCUGGAGUCCGGUAGGGGAGCGUGGAAUUCCUGGUGUAGCGGUGAAAUGCGCAGAUAUCAGGAGGAACACCAGCGGCGAAGGCGGCGCUCUGGGCCGGUACUGACGCUGAGGAGCGAAAGCGUGGGUAGCAAACAGGAUUAGAACCGUACGUAGUCAGACCAAGCCAUCUGUCACCUGA
rnacentral:rRNA from 1 species